rnacentral:rRNA from 1 species
CCUACGGGAGGCAGCAGUGGGGAAUAUUGGGCAAUGGGCGAAAGCCUGACCCAGCGACGCCGCGUGAAGGAAGAAGGCUUUCGGGUUGUAAACUUCUUUUCGCAGGGACGAAGAAAGUGAUGGUACCUGAGGAAUAAGCGACGGCUAACUACGUGCCAGCAGCCGCGGUAAUUCGUAGGGGGCAAGCGUUAUCCGGAUUUACUGGGUGUAAAGGGCGUGUAGGCGGGACUGCAAGUCAGAGGUGAAAACCACGGGCUCAACCUGUGGCCUGCAUUUGAUACUGUAGUUCUUGAGUACUGGAGAGGCAGACGGAAUUCCUAGUGUAGCGGUGAAAUGCGUAGAUAUUAGGAGGAACACCAGUGGCGAAGGCGGUCUGCUGGACAGCAACUGACGCUGAGGCGCGAAAGCGUGGGGAGCAAACAGGAUUAGAUACCCGGGUAGUC